rnacentral:rRNA from 1 species
UUCCGGUUGAUCCUGCCGGACCUGACUGCUAUCGGAUUGAUACUAAGCCAUGCGAGUCAUUGUAGUAAUACGAGGCAGACGGCUCAGUAACGCGUAGUCAACCUACCCUAAGGAUGGGGAUAACCUCGGGAAACUGAGAAUAAUACCCGAUAGAACAUGGCUCCUGGAAUGGUUCAUGUUUCAAAUAAUUUAUUGCCUUAGGAUGGGACUGCGGCCUAUCAGUUUGUUGGUGAGGUAAUGGCCCACCAAGACUAUUACAGGUACGGGCUCUGAGAGGAGUGGCCCGGAGAUGGGUACUGAGACACGGACCCAGGCCCUAUGGGGCGCAGCAGGCGAGAAAACUUUGCAAUGUGCGAAAGCACGACAAGGUUAAUCCGAGUGGUUUCUGCUAAAGGAACCUUUUGUCAGUCCUAGAAACACUGAUGAAUAAGGGGUGGGCAAGUUCUGGUGUCAGCCGCCGCGGUAAAACCAGCACCUCAAGUGGUCAGGAUGAUUAUUGGGCCUAAAGCAUCCGUAGCCGGCUUUGUAAGUUUUCGGUUAAAUCCAUGCGCUUAACGUAUGGGCUGCCGGGAAUACUGCAAAGCUAGGGAGUGGGAGAGGUAGACGGUACUCGGUAGGAAGGGGUAAAAUCCUUUGAUCUAUUGAUGACCACCUGUGGCGAAGGCGGUCUACCAGAACACGUCCGACGGUGAGGGAUGAAAGCUGGGGGAGCAAACCGGAUUAGAUACCCGGGUAGUCCCAGCUGUAAACUAUGCAAACUCAGUGAUGCAUUGGCUUGAUGCCAAUGCAGUGCUGCAGGGAAGCCGUUAAGUUUGCCGCCUGGGAAGUACGUACGCAAGUAUGAAACUUAAAGGAAUUGGCGGGGGAGCACCACAAGGGGUGAAGCCUGCGGUUCAAUUGGAUUCAACGCCGGG